rnacentral:lncRNA from 1 species
CCGGAGAACAGCUCUCUCUCCUUCUGCGGGAGCAAAAUGAUUUCCGGGUGCAUGAAAACACAGGGUCAAAAAGAUGAUCAACCAGCAAAAGGAUUAAACGAUUCUUACCUAUAAAACUCCAUCGAUAAGAAGAUCCACGGAACAUCAUAAAAGUGUAUCUCUCCUGCCACGUUUUAUUAAAACCAGCCCUUUCCGGUCAGUUUUUGGAAGCUCCUCCACGAUCGGUGAUACCACUCAAAUUACCCUAAAGAGUGAAUUACUCUCUCAAAUAAGAGGUUCAAUUGUAGUACUUAGGGAUCAAAUCCACAAGGAGCUAGGGAACCUAUUAAAUCUAGUUAAAUUAUUA